UACGUAGGAGACGAGCGUUGUCCGGAAUUACUGGGCGUAAAGCGCGUGUAGGCGGAUGAGCAAGUCUGCUGUGAAAGCUCCUGGCUUAACCGGGAGUGGUCGGUGGAAACUGCUCGUCUGGAGGACGGUAGAGGUAGGUAGAAUUCCCGGUGUAGUGGUGAAAUGCGUAGAGAUCGGGAGGAAUACCUGUGGCGAAGGCGGCCUACUGGGCCGGACCUGACGCUGAGACGCGAAGGCGUGGGGAGCGAACAGA
rnacentral:rRNA from 1 species